ensembl:lncRNA
GAGAGCAACUGCUCUGCAGCAGCCUCGCUCCCGCGAUAACUUAAGGUCAUGUGACAUCAGAUGCAGAGCAGAAACCACUCCCAUCCAGGUCAUCGUGGACACAUUUUAACCAGCAUGCAUCACGAUUUAUGCAGCGCUGCGCAGCGCUGCGCAGCACUGCGUGAUCUUGAACUCGCCUAAUAUGUAAUGAGGCGCGCGUUGAUUGGCCGCAGGAAGGACAGAGCCGGAAUCGGGGGCUAGCCUGCAUGCACACAGACUCCAAAACAUAAACAGCCCCCUGUCAUGGCGCACACACUAAAUGACGAACCUUACAAUUCAGGCAUUUAUGUACGAGCCGGAUUCGGAACCCGAACGGGAGAGUGAAGAGGCAGAGACGGUGGAAGAGACACGUUUACAGCAGGAUGUCUCUGAAUGGAUGAAGGGUGUUAUGAUCUUUCUGGUGUUGAUGCUGGUCGUCAUCAUGGUUGAUGCUGAGGAGAGUCGUCCUCAAAAUGAUGGUGUCCGCCUGCCGCCCCGGCGCAGUAAGUCAUACAAAGUGUUCAUACAAACUGAGUUGAUGUUAACAGAUUGAUCUCUGAUUUACACAAACAGCAGCCUAUGGUAGUCUGAGAUCAACAAAUCAAACUUGACUGUACUAACUUAUUACAUACAACUUCAUUUAGUUCUGUGUCUAUCUAAAAUCUUUAUUAAGUCCUGGUAUCUCAGAUAAUAAACCUAAAUCUAAGUAAAAAGAGCAUCUUUAAUGUUCUAAAUGCAAAGAUUUUCAAAUGUGAUAAUAACAUACAGAUGCGUUUUUUUAACUCAUUUUUGUCUCUGUUUCCCUUUAGUAGCCAUACCUGGACUGUAAGUACUACUGAAUAUUUCUGGUGAUUUCAAACAGACAAAUAAAAGAAAUAAAUAGACUUUUUGAAAUACCUCAACCCUAUCAAACAUAGCAAGCAUCAGUAUUAACCAGAUCCAAAGUUGAUGUCUUCAAAUACCUUAUUUUGUCCAACCCAUUUAAAUUCACGAUGAUAUAAUAGAGGGCAAAGAAGCAAGCUGACACAUUCCAGAUGCUGGAAUCAGUGCAUUUCUUUUUGAAAUAUGUGUCAACUAAGAUUCUGUUGAUAAUUAAACAAACUGAUUUCUCUCCUUUGUUCCCCCUUCUCGUACUAGGUAUAUCAGAUUUGGAGCAUCUCAAGAUGAAGUGGCCAACGAUAAACUGAGGCGAUACUAUGAAAACUGAGUCUGUUCUUGAUUUUGAAGAUAUAGUUUGAGCUAUAUCUUUGUGCUUUGCAAAGCAAGAAAUAAUUGGAUGUGUAAACAUGAAGCUCUUGAGAUGUAGUGAUUUUAGUCACAGCUACAACUGAUAGUGAAAACUAUCCUGUUGAAUAAAGCUGCAUUCCAAAAGACCGUCUGUGUGUUGUGGUGUUAUUUAAGUGAACAUAUGUUUGUAAUUUUACUGGUGAUGAUGAUCAAGAACAUUGUUUUUCAUCAAUUCGGAGGUCAAUGUUUAUAUUAAGUAGAUCUAAAUAAUAAGUGUGUUGGUGUGAUCAGUUUAUUGAAUAAACUCUCUUCCUAUUAACUAAUAAAUCUAAAUGUUGAUGAUGUCAUUUGACAGAAAACUAUUUCAAAAAUGAAGCGAAAUAGGUGAGCAGGUGGUCGAGUGGUUAGAGCGCAUGCUACAUACGCAGCUGACCUCGGUUCGAUUCCGGCCAGAGGUCCUUUGCUGCAUGUCAUAUC